GAGCUAAUCCCCCUCUGUCCACCGAGCCCUUCAGGCGAGAAUAAGUACUGCUAAUUCUUUAUUCCCAUGGUUCAACUCCAUGGCUGGCUCG
rnacentral:tRNA from 1 species